AACAAAUAAUAUCUGAAAAACAUAAAGAAUUAAAAAUAAGGAUGAUCUACCAAGGAGAUUAAAGAUACGACAGAAAAAGAAGUAAUAAUAACAGUCAAAAAAAUAAAAAUAGAAUUUGAAAUAAAGGAAGAAAUGCAAAAAGCAGACAUAAUAUUAGGAAUAAAAUGGUUAGAACAAGUAAAAUCAUACAAUAUAGAACACACACAAUUAUCUAUAACAUAUAAUAAAGAAAGAUUACAUAUAAUAAAGAAAGAUUAUUCAUUCCGGUCUAUAAUUUUUUCUCAAAUGGUGACCACUUUUCAGCCAUCAAAUCUAAUAAUCCGGCGCAUGAGUAUGUUCCGGCCAGUUCUUUGGUGACUAUCUUGUUCAAGAUCUACUCAUCUCUUGAUUUCGAGAUGACCCUUAUCUUUUAUACCAGUUUCCGGCAAUUUUCCAGUGGCACAUUGACUUUCCGGUGAUGUUUACUACUUUUUAGAUCACUUUUUCAGUUUGUUCCAUUUCAGUUGAGGUUUCCCAGAUGUCCAAAGCAGUCCUUAUCAAUUUUCUUGCAAAUAUAUUCACCAAGUCUCUCACCGAUCCUUGUAUUAGUUACACCUUGACAAGUUUGGUACAUAUGUCUUCUAUGCACCAGCUUGAGGGGGAGUGUUAAGAAUAUGAGUAGGAAUAGAAAUAUCAUAUAGAAUCCGACUUGGAAAGGGAUUGUAAUGUAGUGUCCUAUUAGGAAAAGGAUUAGAAUGUUGUGUGUAUAAAUAGGGCCUUAAUGUAAUAAUGUAGUUACAACAAUUCAAUGAUAUUUUUCUCUUAUAUCUCUCACAACAUCAUUGACAUCGUGGAUUCCAAAGCUGCAAAUAAUCUUCCAUAAUCUCUAUCCUGUGUUUCCUGCACCACAAAAACAGAUGGCGAAUACAAUUAGAUUUCACUGGAGAUGUUUUUUCUCUUCCAAACAUCUCUUAUUUCUUUCCAGCCAAAUAUUCCACAUGGUACACAAUGGUUCAGUCCAAAUCUGCUUCAACUUGUUCCGAAUUCUCUCUCCCUGCCAACUUAACAUGAAGCUAACAUCCUUUGGCAUCACCCUCUACACACCAAACAUACAGAAAUUAUGUCCAAACUUACCAGGUUGAAUCACAAUACAGCAGUGGAUUAUUGGUGGUUUCUCCUGCUUCCUCACAUAAAAAGCAUCCGCUACCCAUUGAAAUACAUACCCCCCGUGUGGUAUCUUGUGUUAGACCAGCACUCUUGGUGUACCUAAAACAAAAAACCUUGAGGGGCUGUAUUUUCCAAAUCAUUUUCCAUGGCCAAUCAACCUCCCAGUUUCCAGCUUGCUUCUGUAACUUCUUCCCCCAGAGAGUACACCAUUUUUAUCAUCUAAGCAAAUCAUCCUAUUCUUGCUGUUAUCAUCCAGUUUAAUGAGCUUAAAUAAAAAAAUAAUUAGCUGAUUUCAUCCACCUCCCAAUCAUUAAAUUAUCUUCUAAAAAGGUCAAGUUGUAUCAUGUUGAACAAGGGUAAAUGCAUUGUGGAAGCUGCCUCUUUCUUACACAGAACAUUGAACAAUCACUCCACAAAGCCAAAUGCAGAAUUUAAGCCUCUUGCUUUAUCCAGCCAUGACUCUUAAUUGAUUUGACCGUAUGAGCAGCUGCUGAUAUGUUCUCCCUACUAGUGUACAUCCUCUGCUUCACCAUGACUAUUUCUUUUGCUAUGUACAUGCAUCAAUAUUCAGUGAAACCAAUCAAUUAGUAUUGUUUUAGCAGUAGAAGAACCAUGUGAGACCACGGUUCAAAUUUCUUUAGAGACAAAAAUGCUAGGCGUUUUCUUCCCAUCAGCCUUGAUUUUGGUGGGCAAGCCAUAUGAGUUACUUGAUAACUAGUGAAAUAGUCUAGGUGCAUGAACUGGCUGGACGCAGUGGCGGAGCCACAUUGAAUUCAGGGGGUUCAUCCGAACCCCUUUCGUCGGAAAAUUAUAGUAAUUUUUACAUGGUCAAAAA